CAGUGAUCACGAGUUCUGUGGAGAUAUCCACGGAAACACGGACUGUCGCUGUAGAGCCAUUUUUGCCUCCCAGUACACUGAACAGAACAGACUGGGAGGUCCAACUGUCUGCCAGGACAACACUGCUUCACUCACUCUGGUGGGUUGUCUCCUGAAG